rnacentral:RNase_P_RNA from 1 species
GUCGCGCGGCCUCGAAAGAGGAGUGAGGAAAGUCCGGACACCGCAGGGCAGAAGACCGGGUAAUUCCCGGGGGAUGGACUGGGGACGGUUCAUCUACGGAAAGUGCAGCAGAAAGUAUACCGCCGGGCUUCGGUCCGGUAAGGGUGAAAUGGUGAGGUAAGAGCUCACCGCAUCGACCGCAAGGAAGAUGGCUUGGUAAACCCUCUUCGGUGCAAUCUCAAGUAAGCAGCCGCCAAGGUUGGCCCGACCGUGGCUGUGGGUAGAGAGCAAAGACCUGAGGGGCAACCCGAAGGCAAGAUAAAUGACGGUGCUCGACAGAAUCCGGCUUACAGGUGCA